CAUGCGCGGGGCGGGCGGGAAGGCGGGCUGACAGGGCUGCGCGGCGGGCCGGGGGUGGAGGUGUCCGCCGUCCCGGCCGUCCUCCGCCGGUUCGCGAUCGCUCUGGGAGCCGGUCGGAGGUGGGCGUUUUCGGCAAGGGUCUGGAAAAGCCGUUCUCCCGCCCCUGACAAGUGUUACCCCCCCGGAUAAACUCGCCUCGGGCCGGCCUGCGCCCAGAGGGUCGACAAUGCCAGUUUUAUUCGAAUGUUUCUAAUUGGUUUUGCAGACUUAAUCGCCCUUCUCCCCCUACAAUAUAAAUAUAUAAUGUUAUUACUUUUCCCUGGCGAAGAUGAGGAGGGGGGAACGUGACAUUAGAACAGCCAGCUCACAUGAGCAUUCUCUUGGAACCUAAAGUGGGAGGGAACUUUGUUGGUUGGAACUUUCGGAUCUAAGCUGAAUAAAGAUUGUGGAGAAUAAUCCUUCAUCAGCCAGGCAGUGAACUGAAUGAUCUCUAGAAGCUCUUUUUCAUCUCUUCACCCUGUUGUAUGGUCCCAAGAAACACAGCUUCACUCAAAACCCACUGGUCAGUCAGUCAACACUCUACUCUCCAAAGAAAAAAGGAGCAAACAUGCCCAGUCUAUGCUCUAAGAAGGAUUGCAUACCCAGGCAACAUCUGCAAAAAUGAAAUGCUGGACGUGGUUCCAGUUAAAACUGAUAUUAACAAACGUUCACCAUGGCCAACUACUUAAUUUAGAUCUCUUCAUUUUCUGUCACUAAAUUAACGCUGCUUAUGGAGAUGCUGCACCAAUAACGCAUAACAAGAAUUGCAAGUAAGGCUGUCUCAGAGACAAAUGUUGCCUUAGAGCUGGUCGCUUUAAUUUACGAUGGCUGAAAUAAUCCCUUCAAGGCUAUUCCAAUCCAUACCAAACCCUCUUCCUGCCUUGGAAUCCCCUCUGAGCAUUUAACACACAGCCAGCAACACACAGGAGGUCCCAAGAGGAAAAUCAUUUACAUACCUAGCAGUGGAAGAGUAGAACUGGCGUGUGCAUUUGGCUGACUGAAGACACACUGCUGCAGUGAAAAUACCUUCUGCUGUCAGCUAGGAAAAUGUUUAGAUGCAGAAGCGGCUAAAAGCAGUGGUUAGCACCCUGGGAGAUGGCAGCUUUUCAUACACAUCCACAAGCUGAGAAACAGCUGCUCUGUCCCGUUUUAUCAACUGAUUUCUUAAUGGCAGACCCACUGCAGUCCACUGAGGCAACAGGCUUAGGAGAGCCAAGGGCCCAGUCCACGCUGUGGAGGUACCAACCGCCACGUGCACAAAGACCACCACCGGUUCCAGCAGGAGUCAAAGGGAUGGAAAAUACCAGCUUUGCCAGAGGCCUGAACGGCUCACAGGGUCAGGUAUUUAAACAGACCAGUUGUCCCAUCAGAGUAACAUAAAACUGGAGUAACAUAAAAUCAAAUACAUCCCGCUCUGCUCCGCGCUGGUGCGGCCUCACCUGAAGUGCUGUGGGAAGUUUUGGGCACCACAGGACAUUAAGGAUAUAAUGCUACCAAAGAGUGUCCAGAAGAGGGCACAGAGUUGGUGAUGGGUUUAGAGGAGAAACUGUAUGAGGAGUGGCUGAAGUCACUUUCUUUGUUCAGCUGGAGCAGAGGAGGCCGAGGGCAGCCCUCAUGGCGCUCUGCAGCUCCCUCCCGAGGGGAGGAGGGGGGCAGGGCUGGUCCCUGCUCUCUGGUGCCCAACGCCAGGACCCGAGGGAACGGCAGGGAGAUGUGCCAGGGGCGGGUUAGGCUGGGCAUUAGGAAAAGGUUCUUCCCCCAGAGGGUGGUGGAGCCCUGGAACAGGCUCCCCAGGGAGGCAUCACGGCACCAGCCUGGUUAUAUUCAAGAAGCACUUGGCCAAGGCCCUCAGGGACACGGUGUGAAUUUGGGGCUGCCCUGUGCAGGGACAGGAGCUGGACUUGGUGAUCCUUGUGGGUCCCUCCCAGCUCAGGACAUUAUGUGAGUCUAUGAUUCUACGUCUGUGGGAUCACACAGAACUGUCCCUUAGCCAUCGUUCCUGUGGGUGUGUAAUUCUAACGGGAAGGUACAUAUCAAGAUCCCAAAGCCAAAUGAAUUCCUCAACAGUUCUGUGAGCCCAGGGUUCCAUCUGCAUGAUGCAAUUUUAAAACAGGCCUUAAAAUAAAACUUCUUGGAAAUAAAACUUUUGGAACAAAAAUCAUAUAAUUACAACCCAUAAUUAACACAUGACUUUUAAAUGGCUUUCAAUUUAAAAAGUUCCAAGAAAACAUUCAAUUAACAAUACAUCUUCAACACGCCCAGCGCCCAGCCCCACGUACCUUCUGUACUUGGAUGUCCUUCUUCGGUGCUGACCAAGGCAUCUGAUACCAACAUUUGCAAAUUAAUUUAUCAUUUAACUUAGAAGAAAUUGAGUCCAAGUGAGUACAGUGCAGGGAGAUUUCACAUAGGUUAAUACCUUUCACUUAGAAGACUGGGCAACUAAUGUUGGAGAAAAAUGCAAUUCACAAGCUAAAAAUGUCAAAAAAAUAUGAAACCGCGCAUAUUUCAAAUGUGUACAGCCAUACGCUUGUUCAUUAUUUUCCUGAGUCAGUCAGCAAUUUUUGAAGCUUUUAAAAACUGGGCACAGUUCCGUUGCUGGUAUAGUUUAUGAUGGUUCGAAAUAAGGACUGGUAGAAAUGGCUGUGUACC